AAUUGUAGUGGUGAUGCUGCUUUUCUCGCUUCUUCUCCUUGUGGCCGGCGCAAGAGACUUCCCUAAAUUAGAGCAUGAUCAUGAUGAAGCUGUGAUGGGACGUGGUCGAGAGCUGAGUAGUGAUUAUCCAUGGCCAGGGGGUCACGGUUAUAUUCAUGAUUAAUAUAUUUACAUUUAUUCUCUUCAUGUAUGUUUUAAUUAAUUUCAACUUUUUUAAUAUUAUUAUUUCAUAUCAUGUUUAAGUAAACCCACGACCGACAUGAUCUAUCGAUCGAUCUAUCUAUCCGUUCAAAUAUAUAUUCAAAAGUUGUAUGCUUUCGUAUUUCUAUUGCAUUCUAUUCUAAUAUAUAUAUAUAUUAAU